CCGAAUUAUUUCAUAUUUGCCUGUAUAUUUUUUAUUUAUUUCGAGCGAAUUUGAGUCGUGACAUGUCAAUGGAGAACAAAAACUGUGAACACAAGAAGGGUCAGGUGUUCUGCGAGGUCCUGAAAACAUCCUGUCAAAAUGAGCUGAUCAAGUUAGAUGCUCACCUAAUGUGUUGCUGAGUCAUCGAGGAUCCAGCUUGUUCUUGAAACAUUG